rnacentral:rRNA from 1 species
UUUUUGGAGAGUUUGAUCUUGGCUCAGGACGAACGCUGGCGGCGUGCCUAAUACAUGCAAGUCGAGCGCGG